GUUUCUGAACUCAUACAUUAACCAUUUGAAUUUGGAAUAUUAAAAAAAUAGUAAUAUACAUUCAUUUAAGUAUAUUUAUUGCAAAUUAAUAUGAAUAUUACAUCAUAUAUGAUAUUGAUAUUCUUAACAUUGAUAUCAGUAUUCAUAGUUCGCUCAGAGCCUCAAUUUUACCGCCACGAAGGAAAGAGUCGACGAAGCUUGAACAUAAAAGAGAAAGAAAUGCUAUCACCAAAGACGCAGAUAGUUUUAAAGCAACUUGAAGAUAAAAUACCAAACAAUAACAAGUUUUAUGAGACUCUGGUAAACCAAUUGGAACAGGUAUUUUCGGCACCACAGCUGAGACGGUCUUGUAAAAAAUGCAGAGGGUGAAAAGUGUAAAAUAUAAUGCUACAUAAAAAUUGUAACUUUAUUUCUUCCGAUUAAAUAACUAUCUUGC